UUAUCAAAAACAUCGCUCUUUGUCACAAAAUAAAUAAAGAGUCGUGCCUGCCCAGUGAAUAUUUUAACGGCCGCAGUACCCUGACUGUGCUAAGGUAGCAUAAUCACUUGUUUUUUAAUUGAAAGCUUGCAUGAAUGGCUUGACGCAGGUAAAUCUGUCUCUUUUAUAUUAAUUAGAAAUUAAUUUUUAAGUAAAAAAGCUUAAAUAUAUUCAAAAGACGAAAAGACCCUAUCGAGCUUAAAAAUAAUAAUUAAUUAAAUUUUUUAGUAAAAUAAUUUUAAUUUACAUUUUUUUGUUGGGGCGACAAAAGAACAAAUAAAGCUUCUUUUAAUUAUAAAAAUUUAUAAAUUUAUAGACCCAUAAAUUAUGGUUAAAAGAAAAAGCUACCGUAGGGAUAACAGCGUUAUUUUUUCAGAGAGUUCUUAUCGAAGAAAAAGUUUGCGACCUCGAUGUUGGAUUAAAGUAACUCUUAAGUGCAGCAGCCUAAAGAGUGGGUCUGUUCGACCCUUUAACCUUU
rnacentral:rRNA from 1 species